AGUCGCCGCGGGAAUACGAAGGGUGCAAGCGUUACUCGGAAUUACUGGGCGUAAAGCGUGCGUAGGUGGUGGUUUAAGUCCGUUGUGAAAGCCCUGGGCUCAACCUGGGAAUUGCAGUGGAUACUGGGUCACUAGAGUGUGGUAGAGGAUAGUGGAAUUUCCGGUGUAGCAGUGAAAUGCGUAGAGAUCGGAAGGAACAUCUGUGGCGAAGGCGACUAUCUGGGCCAACACUGACACUGAGGCACGAAAGCGUGGGGAGCAAACAGGAUUAGAUACCCCAGUAGUCCCUGUCUCUUAUACA
rnacentral:rRNA from 1 species